UGCUGUGUGAAGACAAGAAUGUGCCCU
rnacentral:piRNA from 1 species